UUGCGAAGAUCGGAAAUGCUUUUCCGGUGCGUUUUUCGGCGAAAUCCGCCGACGGAACGCGGGUUCGGUUCGGAAUUAUUCCGACGGUGCUUCGUGAACUUUUGUGUAGUCGCUGAGCCUUGUCGGCUGGUCACUCGCAUCAUUUUGAGGGUUCGGAAAUGACGGGUGAGCGACGGUAGGUUCCGGUGUCGAAUUAGACACUUCCGGGAACCCGGAUCGAAAUGAUUAUCCGACGAUAAUUGUUUCGACGUGAGGAGUGGUGUUUGCUGCCAUGAUGCACGAUUACUCAUGUUUAGUGGCAGCGGAUGACUCGUAGCAUGAGUCGGUACGUUCCGGGACAGUUCGUGGGUCCCGACGGGGUCCCGGUGCGAUUUCGGGACUUCCGGCGAGUUACGAUAGUCGGUUUUAGGAAACCGAUCAUCGUGGGUUUGUUUGUGAGGUUGUGAGAGCUAGUGGUUUGUUAUUUGUGGGUUAGACUCUAACCCGGUGGACCCUUCUUAGGUCCGGUUGAUGCUUCUUCCACAGACGAGAGACUGGCACCAUAUUUGUGCAGGUGGGUACUUCGAUCCGAAGUCGGUACAGUGGUGCACGCUCGGUGAUAUUCUUCUAUCCCUGUUCUUCUGUUGCUAUUUUCGUAUUAUAUAUUGAGCUUGCAUCCCCGUUGUUUCUAUUAUACUCUACUCAUAUGUUUCUAUGCUUAGUAUCAUGUGUAGGAGUAGAGUAGUUUAUCCAUAUGUGAUAUCGGUGACCUGAUUGGUCGGUUCUCGUACUUUGUUCCGGUGACCUAAUUGGUCGGUUCUCGUACUUCUUUUCGGUGACCUAGUUGAUCGGUGCUUUUAUCUUAUAUCUGUUGACCUGGUUGGUCGGUUGUUGCAUUAUGUAUUGGGUUGGUCUGUUUCUUGACUUCUGUUGUUCGAUGACCUUUGAGGUCGGUGUACCCUGAGGGGUAGGAUUGUCGGCUGGUGCUGACGGUAGUUCUGGACUAUAUCGAAUACACUCAUGUGACCUAUCGGUCGGUUCUUGCGUUCGUACUUUUAGUUGACAUCGAGCAGUAUCUACAUAUUAUCUUUAUUUACUCUGCCUGGUUGUUCUAUGUGUAGUAUCCUGUAUAGGGGUAGAGUAGAUGGCAUUCGUAAAUACUAUACUUGUGACCUGGUUGGUCGGUUCUUCUGUUUGCAUCGGUGACCUGUUUGGUCGUUCGUUACUUUCCGUAUAUUGACCUCUCUUGGUCGGUUCACGUUGUUACUUGAUGACCUACAUGGUCGGUUAGCCCC
rnacentral:lncRNA from 1 species